GAGAAUCUCGCCCGCGAGGGUGACUCUCCAACCCUAUGUUAAUCUACCUUUGUUGCUUUGGCGAGCCGCCUCGGCCACCGGCUCACGCUGGUGAGUGCUCGCCAGGGGACCUCAACACUGUUUAUCACUAUCGUCUGAGUACUAUAUAAUAGUUAAAACUUUCAACAACGGAUCUCUUGGUUCU
rnacentral:misc_RNA from 1 species